GACGACGCUGGCGGCGUGCCUAACACAUGCAAGUCGAACGGGAUCCAUGAGAGCUUGCUCUCGGAAGAUCUAGUGGCGAACGGGUGAGUAACACGUGAGAAACCUGCCCUGGAGUGGGGAAUAACUCGGGGAAACCCGAGCUAAUACCGCAUACCCUUGGAUGAUCGCAUGGUCGACCAAGGAAAGAUUUAUCGCUCUAGGAGGGUCUCGCGGCCUAUCAGCUAGUUGGUGGGGUAAUGGCCUACCAAGGCAACGACGGGUAGCUGGUUUGAGAGAACGAUCAGCCACACUGGGACUGAGACACGGCCCAGACUCCUACGGGAGGCAGCAGUGGGGAAUCUUGCGCAAUGGGCGAAAGCCUGACGCAGCAACGCCGCGUGCGGGAUGACGGCCUUCGUGGUUGUAAACCGCUUUCAGCAGGGACGAAAAUGACGGUACCUGCAGAAGAAGCCCCGGCUAACUACGUG
rnacentral:rRNA from 1 species